CAAUAGCGUAUAUUUAAGUUGUUGCAGUUAAAAAGCUCGUAGUUGGAUUUCGGGUGGGACGCAGCGGUCUCGCAUUGCGUUUGUACUGCUGCAGCCCUCCUUCUUGCCGGGGGCGGCCUCUCGGACUUCACUGUCUGGGGGUCAGAAUCGGCGAUGUUACUUUGAGUAAAUUAGAGUGUUCAAAGCAAGCUUACGCUCUGAAUAUAAUAGCAUGGGAUAACACGACAGGACUCUGGCCUAUCGUGUUGGUCUAUAGGACCAGAGUAAUGAUUAAGGGGGACAGUCGGGGGCAUUCGUAUUCCGUUGUCAGAGGUGAAAUUCUUGGAUUUACGGAAGACGAACAUCUGCGAAAGCAUUUGCCAAGGAUGUUUUCAUUGA
rnacentral:rRNA from 1 species